GAUGAACGCUAGCUACAGGCUUAACACAUGCAAGUCGAGGGGAAACGGCAUUGAGUGCUUGCACUCUUUGGACGUCGACCGGCGCACGGGUGAGUAACGCGUAUCCAACCUUCCCAUUACUGUGGGAUAACCUGCCGAAAGGCAGACUAAUACCGCAUAGUCUUCGAUGACGGCAUCAGAUUUGAAGUAAAGAUUUAUCGGUAAUGGAUGGGGAUGCGUCUGAUUAGCUUGUUGGCGGGGUAACGGCCCACCAAGGCUACGAUCAGUAGGGGUUCUGAGAGGAAGGUCCCCCACAUUGGAACUGAGACACGGUCCAAACUCCUACGGGAGGCAGCAGUGAGGAAUAUUGGUCAAUGGACGGAAGUCUGAACCAGCCAAGUAGCGUGCAGGAUGACGGCCCUAUGGGUUGUAAACUGCUUUUGUAUGGGGAUAAGGUUAGGGACGUGUCCCUAUUUGCAGGUACCAUACGAAUAAGGACCGGCUAAUUCCGUGCCAGCAGCCGCGGUAAUACGGAAGGUCCAGGCGUUAUCCGGAUUUAUUGGGUUUAAAGGGAGCGUAGGCUGGAGAUUAAGUGUGUUGUGAAAUGUAGACGCUCAACGUCUGAAUUGCAGCGCAUACUGGUUUCCUUGAGUACGCACAACGUUGGCGGAAUUCGUCGUGUAGCGGUGAAAUGCUUAGAUAUGACGAAGAACUCCGAUUGCGAAGGCAGCUGACGGGAGCGCAACUGACGCUUAAGCUCGAAGGUGCGGGUAUCAAACAGG
rnacentral:rRNA from 1 species